rnacentral:rRNA from 1 species
UACGAAGGGGGCUAGCGUUGUUCGGAAUUACUGGGCGUAAAGCGCACGUAGGCGGAUUUGCCAGUCAGGGGUGAAAUCCCGGGGCUCAACCUCGGAACUGCUUCUGAUACAGCAAGUCUUGAGUCCGGAAGAGGUGGGUGGAAUUCCUAGUGUAGAGGUGAAAUUCGUAGAUAUUAGGAAGAACACCAGUGGCGAAGGCGGCCCACUGGUCCGGUACUGACGCUGAGGUGCGAAAGCGUGGGGAGCAAACAGG